GCGCCUUUGGUGCAAGGUAACACACGUCUUUCUGCUUUGUUGCAAAGAAAGAUUUGAGACGAGUCCGGGGUUCGAUUCCCCGAGGGUGCA